AUGUGUGUACCUAAGAAAGAAGAGGGAAUGGGUUUGAGAGAUAUACAUUGUUUCAAUCUUGCUCUAUUGGCCAAACAAGCUUGGUGUUUGACAGAUGAUCCCGAGUCUCUUUGUGCCACAAUACUUCGUGCGGAAUAUCUUCCUGAUGGCGACUUGCUUAAUGCCACUUUGAAGUAUAAGGCGUCCUAUACAUGGCAGAGUAUGAUGGAAGGAGUGAGUACACUCAAGCUGGGACAUGUUUGGUGA
rnacentral:rRNA from 1 species